GCAUAUCAAUAAGCGGAGGAAAAGAAACUAACAAGGAUUCCCCUAGUAACGGCGAGUGAAGCGGGAAGAGCACAAAUUUAAAAUCUACCUGGUUUUCAGGUCGAGUUGUAAUUUGAAGAUACGUUUUUGACGUUCUGGGUUGGACUAAAUCCUUUGGGAUAAGGUAUCAUAGAGGGUGAGAAUCCCGUAUAUACCAACCGUAGGGAUGUUAUUAAAUACGUUUCUAAGAGUCGAGUUGUUUGGGAAUGCAGCUCUAAAUGGGUGGUAAAUUUCACCUAAUGCUAAAUAUAAGCGAGAGACCGAUAGCGAACAAGUACAGUGAUGGAAAGAUGAAAAGAACUUUGAAAAGAGAGUUAAAUAGUACGUGAAAUUGUUGAAAGGGAAACGAUUGAAGUCAGUCAUGCCGGUGAGAAUCAACUUAGGGGAAACUCUGGGUGCACUUCUUCGCUUGGCAGGUCAACGUCGAUUUUGAAUGUCAUAAAAUAAUUGGGGGAAGGUAGCUCCUUCGGGAGUGUUAUAGCCCUUGAUAGAUGUGAUGUUUGAGGUCGAGGAUUGCAACGGAUACCCUUUGGGGCUAGCUGCCUGAUCUCUAAUUGGUGUUGGGUUACGGAUAGCAUGCUGACCGUGAUCUAAUUACUGGUUAAAAGGUUAGAGCGUGCAUAAAUUCGUUAAGGACGUUGACGUAAUGGCUUUAAACGAC
rnacentral:rRNA from 1 species